rnacentral:rRNA from 1 species
AUAACUAAGCGGAGGAAAAGAAACCAAACGGGAUUCCCCUAGUAACGGCGAGUGAACAGGGAUCAGCCCAGCGCCAAGUCCUGACGCUUAACGUGUUCAGGAGAUGCGGCGUUAGUGUGUUGGUGCAUCGUGCACUGCUUUGUAUCUCAAGUUCCUUUGACAGGGACUCCCAAAGUGGGUGCUAGGCCCAUAGAGAUUGCGAGGCUGGUGUACGCAGACCAAUGCAUCUUAGAGUCAGGUUGCUUGAAAGUGCAGCCUAAAGCAGGUGGUAAACUCCAUCUAAGGCUAAAUAUUACAGCGAGACCGAUAGCAAACAAGUACCGUGAGGGAAAGUUGCAAAGAACUUUGAAGAGAGAGUUCAAAAGGACGUGAAACCACUAACAGGCAAACGGGUGGAACCACGAAGUGUGCCUGAUAGGUGAUUCAGUUAUCAUAUCAUYAGCUGGCUGUGUCAGUGUUCUGGGUCCGUCUUUUCUGGCCGGCCUGGCAUAGUCUACAUGCUAGUGAUGGUAAUGCAUUUCAUCCUGUCAGUGCUAAAGCCACGUCCAAUUAGGUGGCUGGAACGGCCGUAGUGAGUGGUCGCUGGAAGGUGGCCGUCAGAUGCUUCGGCGUUUGGCGGUGUUAUAGCCAGUUGAUCCGUGCCGUUGCCUAGCGUGCUGAUUGGUGCAAGUUCUCCAAUUUGGAGUUUUGCUAGUAAUGGGCUAGUGUACCUGUGGUUGCCUGGUCGCCGUAUCGAGCUGGCCUUUCGUUCCUUCGGGUGCGAUAAGACUGUUUGGUAUCGGUGGUCAGUGUGCUGCUUGUAUGAUUAGCUUGUGCAAACGGUGGUGCGAGUAGGUCGGUCUCCACCCGACCCGUCUUGAAACACGGACCAAGGAGCCUAACAUAUACGCAAGUCGCUCGGUCUUGUUUAGGCCUGAGAGGCGUAAUGAAAGUAAAUUAUGCUACGAGGCUGGUUGCUGCAAGGCAUCCAGUCGCAGUAGCGGCCCGCCUGCUUUCUUUAUCGAGAAUAUGGCGGAGCUGGAGCGUAUACGUUGGUACCCGAAAGAUGGUGAACUAUGCCUGGGCAAGAUGAAGCCAGAGGAAACUCUGGUGGAGGUCUGUAGCGAUUCUGACGUGCAAAUCGAUCGUCAGACCUGGGUAUAGGGGCGAAAGACUAAUCGAACCAUCUAGUAGCUGGUUCCCUCCGAAGUUUCCCUCAGGAUAGCAGGCGCUUGUUAACUCAGUCUCAUCCGGUAAAGCUAAUGAUUAGAGGUCUUGGGGCCGAAACGGCCUCAACCUAUUCUCAAACUUUAAAUGGGUGAGAUGCUUGACUUGCUUAAUUGAAGCCAAGCAAUUGGAUGUAAGUGCCUAGUGGGCCAGCUUUGGUAAGCAGAACUGGCGCUGUGGGAUGAACCAAACGUCGAGUUAAGGCAUCAAAUGCGUACGCUCAUCAGACCCCAUGAAAGGUGUUGGUUGCUAUAGACAGCAGGACGGUGGCCAUGGAAGUCGGAAUCCGCUAAGGAGUGUGUAACAACUCACCUGCCGAAGCAACUAGCCCUGAAAAUGGACGAUGCUGUAGCGUGGAGCCGAUACUCGACCGUUACAGACGAUCCGAACAGAAUGCGAUGUCGUAACGAGUAGGAGGGCCGCAGUGGUAGCGUUGAAGGUGUCGGAGGUGACUCCGCCUGGAGCUGCCACUGAUGCAGAUCUUGGUAGUAGUAGCAAAUACUCAAGUGAGAAUCUUGAGGACUAACGUGGAGAAAGGUUCCAUGUGAACAGCAGUUGAACAUGGGUCAGUCGGUCCUAAGGAAGCGGAGAAAUCCGUUACAACGGCCACAAUUAAUCAYAAUWCAAUYRAKUUGAUACUGUGGACGAUUUUCCGAAAGGGCAUCGGGUUAAUAUUCCCGAACUCAGACACAGAGGGUGCAUUUUCGGAUGCGAAUGCGGUAACGCAGUCAAACUCGGAGACGUCGGCGGCAGUCCUAGGAAGAGUUGUCUUUUCUCUAUAAGGGGUCGACUCCAUGAAAACAGCUUGCCUGGAGAUAUGGAUGUUGACACCGAAGAGCCCCGCGGUUCUUGCGGGGUCUGGUGCACUGUUGUCGGCCCUUGAAAAUCCGAGGGCGAUUUUUUACCUUUGUCCUGAGCCGUACUCAUAUCCGCAGCAGGUCUCCAAGGUUAACAGCCUCUAGUUUUUAGAAUAAUGUAGGUAAGGGAAGUCGGCAAAACCGAUCCGUAACUUCGGGAUAAGGAUUGGCUCUGAAGGAUGGGUCGGUCGGGCUGUGGCCAGAAGCGAGUGUUGCGCCUGACUGGGACUGGACGCGCUAACCUCGGUUGGCAUGUUUGGACCUGUGUUGGCGCCUGCUUGUGAACAGUCAUAGCUACGCCUUGGUACCCUGUGUAUCAAGUGUCGUUUCGGCCGGCAUGCAACAUCUGACUCAGAACUGGCACGGACUCCGGGAAUCCGACUGUCUAAUUAAAACAAAGCAUUGCGAUGGCCGGAGAUCGGUGUUGACGCAAUGUG